AGAGUUUGAUCAUGGCUCAGAACGAACGUUAGCGGUGUGGAUUAGGCAUGCAAGUCGUGCGCGAAAGCCUUCGGGCGAGUAAAGCGGCGAAAGGGUGAGUAACACGUAAUCAAUCUACCCCAGAGACCGGAAUAACUAUCGGAAACGAUAGCUAAUGCCGGAUGGCCCAUUACCAAGGCAUCUUGGAAAUGGUAAACGGCGGCCCUGCCGCUGCUUUGGGAGGAGGUUGCGGACUAUUAGCUUGUUGGUGGGGUAAUGGUCUACCAAGGCGAUGAUGGUUAGCGGGUCUGAGAGGAUGGUCCGUCACACUGGGACUGAGACACUGCCCAGACUCCUACGGGAGGCUGCAGUCGAGAAUCUUCCGCAAUGGGCGAAAGCCUGACGGAGCGACACCGCGUGCAGGAUGAAGGCCUUCGGGUUGUAAACUGCUGUCACGUUNAUAGGAACCGUACAUUGUUAAUAGCAAUGUGGNGG
rnacentral:rRNA from 1 species